rnacentral:lncRNA from 1 species
GUAGAACUUUCAGUCACCCCCAAAAGCAUCAAGUGGCCAAGUGAGGUACAUGCCAUUGUGUCCACUGUUCUCUCAUGGCAACUGGAGAUCACAGGCAAGUUCUAUCUUGGAUUCUGAAGUUCCAUGGCUUUGUCUUUUGGGCUAUCCAAGAUUGUUAGAGCAAUUUUUCUAUCCAAACUGGGUUCAGAAGUCAUGACUGAAACUAGACUGGGUCCAGGAUUUGACUGAAUCUGAUAAUUGACUGGCGUGGAUCCAGAUAGAGUCCUUGGAUAUCUGACUGGGUUGCAGACAGAAAUUGGAAGCAAUGGCAGUACUGCAGGAGGUAGGGAAAAAAGUCAUUGACUAAGUUGAUCAAGGGAAUCCAAAAGCCAAAGCCAAGAUUCAAUGUAAAAUGAGUUUCUUAGUUUCUGGAAAACUGCAUACUCCAUCUUCUGGCUACAUCUACCUACAUACAAGUGAGGAGCUGAGGAGCUUGAGCAAGAUCAUGCAGCUGGUGAAAGAGUCAGAGCUGGUGUCUCCAACAGAUCUUCCAGAGCCAAGAAUCUAGCACCCUGUUUUCUAUACAAUGGCCAAUUCCAUCGAAAUCCUCAUUACAGGAUUUUCACUCUCCAGAGCAGGGUCUUCAGCAAGCCCAUUACUUAAGAACAUUCUGGUUCCUGAAGGGCCACUACUCAUUCAAUAACAAAGUUCAGAAUAAACAAAUCCA